rnacentral:rRNA from 1 species
UGCAGAAUCCCGUGAACCAUCGAGUCUUUGAACGCAAGUUGCGCCCAAAGCCGUCAGGCCAAGGGCACGUCUGCCUGGGUGUCACGCAUCGUCGCCCCAAUCAACUCCUCUCCAAAUCGGCGAGGGGUGGGGUCGGACAUUGGCCUCCCGUGUGCUAACCGUAUGCGGCUGGUCAAAAUCAUGGGACCGGACGUUAAGUUUCCGACCAGCGGUGGUUGAACCUCAUGCUCGUGUCGAAUGCUUGACGUCCAAGUGUCCUUGUGGCUCUUCCGAGGCACCUCGGUGACCUCUCCAAACGAGACCCCAGGUCAGGCGGGAUCACCCGCUGAGUUUAAGCAUAUCAAUAAGCGGAGGAAAAGAAACUAACAAGGAUUCCCCUAGUAACGGCGAGCGAACCGGGAGUAGCCCAGCUUGAAAAUCGGUCGCCUUCGGCGUCCGA